rnacentral:rRNA from 1 species
GCAGAGAUUUCACCUCGUACCUUUUGCAUCAUGAUUCAGCAAGUUUUAUCAAGCAAAGAGAACUCUAGUUUGCAGCCCCGAAACUUGACGAGCUACUCCGAGACAGCCAAUUAUGGGCCAACCCGUCUCUGUGGCAAAAGAGUGGGAAGAUCUCCGAGUAGAGGCAAGAAACCUACCGAGCCAAGUUAUAGCUGGUUACCCAAUAAAUGAAUAAAAGUUCAGCCCCGCCUAGCCCGACUCAAGAUAGUCCUACGAAAGAAGAUAAAGAGCUUACCCGCGGGAGUUAAUCAGAGGAGGUACAGCUCCCCUGAUACAGGAUACAACCUUUUUAGGAGGUUAAAGAAUAUUUUUAAAAAGGCCUUAGGUCUCAGUGGGCCUGAAAGCAGCCAUCUGAUCAGAAAGCGUUAAAGCUCUGACCAUAAGAAAGCCUAUUAUCCUAUUUUAAUAUCUGACCCCCUAGACCUUAUUGGGUCCUUCCAUGCGGUCAUGGAAGAGAUUAUGCUGAAACGAGUAACAAGAAGAAUGAACUUCUCCCAGCACAAGUGUAUGUCAGAUUGGACUAACCACUGAUGAUUAACGAACCCAACAAAAGAGGGCCGAGCACACCCACCGCCUCUGGCCAAGAAAACCAUGCUAGUUAAUAUCGUUACCCCGACACAGGAGUGCUGUAACAAGGAAAGACUAAAAGAAAAAAAAGGAACUCGGCAAACCCAGACCUCGCCUGUUUACCAAAAACAUCGCCUCUUGCACCACGAAGUAUAAGA